CGAGUGCGUAAUGAAGGGCUCGAGACUUAAUUUUUUAUACAGCCUAUCAAUCUUUCCUUCAUCUUUUUCUUGAUGGAAAAGGAGUAUAAUACACUUGAGCAGCCUGUGCAGCUAGUAUAAAUAGCUCGUUGACAUAAGUUUUUUAUCCAUGUUUGAUUUCAAUAAGCCCACACUGUGGAUCAAUCUUCGUACCAUUAUCGGUAUCAAACUAUUGAUACUUAAAUAGAAUGAC
rnacentral:lncRNA from 1 species